AUAAUACUAUUUGCACUGAGUUACCCUGGAGUGAUUUAGAGAAGUGAUGUUUAUUUGUCGUUGACACCUGUGACUGAUAUUGUUGUAGCUCAUGUUAUAUUUAGAGAAGUGAUGUUUAUUUGUCGUUGACACCUGUGACUGAUAUUGUUCUAGCUCAUGUUAUAUUUGGUAGAAAGAUUCCGUUAUGGCUGUAUCACUGUCUUUUAAGAUUGUUCUAGAAAAGUCAUUCCUAGUACAUAAACACUUAAAUUUUCCUGAUUGAAAUGCUUUCUAUACAUUUUUGGAUUAUACUGGGAUAUCCGGAUUUGGAGUUAUUAUUUUCUGUUUGGAUUUAUUGUUCACCUACCGUAACAAACUCCGUACAUCGUCAAAUUCUCCGGGACUACUUUCCCCUACGAAUAAUGACACUGCCACAGGCUUUCCAAACUUCUGCAGAAAAACGUAAGUUACUAUACGCGUGUGAUUCGGUUUUCUAAAAUACCAGAUAGGGUGGUCACGUAGGGUUUAUUUAUUCCAGAAUUAGUAUAAAUAAAUUCUUCUACACUCUGUGUAACGUUUAGAUUGAUUAAAAAUUGACACUACUGACCUUGACAUUGGACUAUAAUUUUGAGCGGAGCGUCAUCGACAUAGUGACGAUGAUGCCGAGGCGUCUGUGGAAACAGUAGGAAGAUUUUAUCGUAUCAAGGCCACACUUCUGCGUAUUGUUGUCAUAUUUGAAAGGGAAUCCAGCCAGGAAAGACAGAUACACCAGAUACUUCUUUACAUAUCGAUAAGGUGUCCAGAAAAAGCGAGAACAUUCAAACAACCAGAAAUUACAUCAUCGCAAUUGCAAACCAUGAUUUUGAGUCCACACCAGCUUCCACAAUAUGACAAAGGAGAAAAUUUAUGGGAAGCAUCCAUGGGUAACCGACGACGAGGAAUUACAAGAUGUGAAGGAUUUCCACCAGUUUGAAUUACACGAAUUGGAAUGAGUUCCUGACAUAUGAAAAAAUUACCAUUUUUUUGCCUGUUUCCAAAUAUGUACAAGAAGUAUACAGGGAUUGAAAGCUGAGAAAGAGACAAAAAUUCCUUUCUAAUGUUACAUAUUAUAUGACAGUGAGGCUAUCAAUAGUGUAAUAAUGGUAAACAUGUGAAGUGUUUGCUAAUAAAAUAUGAUAAAUUUUC